CUUCGGACUUCGAGGUUCUUCUGGGCAGAGCGCCCCGCAGUCCCUCUUGGAAAACGGCCUGGGCCGGUGAUGGCCACGGCGCGCACAGGGCGCAGCGCCCCGGAGAUCUUUGCCACGAUGGAGUACGGACCAGCGCCGGAGAGCCACGCAUGCGCACUGGCCUGGCUGGACACCCAGGACCGGCAGUUGGGUCACUAUGUAAAUGGAAAGUGGUUAAAGCCAGAACACAGGAAUUCAGUGGUUUGCCAGGAUCCCAUCACAGGAGAGAACUUAGCCACUUGCCUCCAGGGACAGGCUGAAGAUGUGAUGACAGCCUCAGUGGCAGCCAAGACUGCAUUCCACAACUGGAGCAGGCUCCCUGGAGCCUCCCGGGCCCAGUACCUGACCAGGCUGGCCAAAGUGAUCCAGAAGCACCAGCGGCUGCUCUGGACGCUGGAGUCCCUGGUUACUGGGCGGGCCGUUCGAGAGGUUCGAGACAGGGAUGUCUCCCUGGCCCAGCAGUUGCUCCAGUACUAUGCAGUCCAGGCGCACACCCAGGAGGAGGCGCUGGCAGGCUGGGAGCCCAUGGGAGUAAUUGGUCUCAUCUUGCCACCCACAUUCUCCUUCCUUGAGAUGAUGUGGAGGAUUUGCCCCGCCCUGGCUGUGGGCUGCACUGUGGUGGUCCUCGUGUCCCCGGCCUCCCCAACACCCCUCCUCCUGGCCCAGCUGGCAGGGGAGCUAGCCCCAUUCCCAGGAAUCCUCAAUGUGGUCAGUUGCCCUGCCUCCCUGGGGCAUGUCCUGGCCUUCCUGCCUGGAGUCCAGAAGGUGGCCUUCUGUGGAACUAUCAAGGAAGGACGUGACCUUCGGCAGAGCCUGGCGGGCAAGGGCGCUGAGCUGGGCCUGGCUCUUGGGGCCGAGUCACUACUGUUGCUGACGGAAGCAGCAGACAUGGAUUCGGCCGUGGAGGGUGUCGUGGAUGCAGCCUGGUCCGACCGCAGCCCGGGUGGCAUCAGGCUACUCAUCCAGGAGUCAGUGUGGGAUGAGACCAUGAGGCGGCUGCAGGCACGGAUGGAGCGGCUUCGGGGCGGCCGAGGGCUGGAUGGGGCUGUGGACAUGGGGGCCCGAGGGGCUGCCGCAUAUGACGUGGCCCGGCUCUACGUGCUCGAGGCCCAGAGCCAGGGCGCACAGGUGUUCCAGGCUGGUGAUGUGCCCUCAGACAGCCCAUUCUUUCCCCCAACCUUGGUCUCUGACCUGCCGCCAGCCUCUCCAUGUUCUCAGGAAGAGGUACCGUGGCCUCUGGUUGUGGCCUCCCCAUUUCGCACAGCCACGGAGGCACUGACCAUGGCCAACGGGACACCGCGAGGAGGCAGUGCCAGUGUGUGGAGUGAAAGAUUGGGGCAGGCCCUGGAGCUGGCCUACGGGCUCCAGAUGGGCACAGUCUGGAUCAAUGCCCAUGGCCUCAGAGACCCUGCAGUGCCCACAGGAGGCUGCAAGGAAAGUGGGUCUUCCUGGCACGGGGGCCUGGAUGGUCUGUAUGAGUACCUGCGGCCUUCAGGGACCCCUGACCGGAUGAUGUACCUUUCUGAGAGUCUGAGCUAUGACACCUUUGGCCUUGCUGUCUCCCCAACCCUACCAGCUGGGCCUGAAAAGGGGCCCAGCCCAGCACUCCCGUAUGGGAUCUUCGUUGGGGGCCGUUUCCAGGCUCCUGGGGCCCGGAGCUCCAGGCCUGUCCGGGAUUCACAGGGCGAUCUCUACGGCUAUGUGGCUGAGGGGGGAGCCAAGGACAUCCGAGGUGCUGUGGAGGCUGCUCACCAGGCUGCCCCUGGCUGGGUGAGCCAGUCACCAGGGGCCCGGGCGGCCCUGCUGUGGGCUGUGGCGGCCGCACUGGAGCACCGGGAGUCCACCAUGGCCUCGAGGCUGGAGAGGCUCGGCGUGCCGCUCAAGGCCGCCAAAGCAGAGGUGGAGCUGAGCGUGAGGCGGCUUCGGGCAUGGGGGGCCCGCGCCCAGGCCCAAGGUCACACACUGCAGGUAGCAGAGCUGAGAGGCCCUGUGCUGCGGCUACGGGAGCCACUGGGUGUGCUGGCUAUCGUGUGCCCAGACGAGUGGCCCUUGCUGGCCUUCGUGUCCCUGCUGGCCCCUGCCCUGGCCUACGGCAACUCUGUGGUCUUGGUGCCCAGCAGGGCCUGUCCCAUCCCCGCCUUGGAGGUCUGCCAGGAGAUGGCCACCUUGUUGCCAGCGGGCCUGGUGAAUGUGGUGACAGGAGACCGCGAUCACCUGACCCGCUGCCUGGCCUUGCACCAGGACAUCCAAGCCAUGUGGUAUUUCGGAUCUGCCCAGACACUUGGGCUGCUUCCAUAUCUUGGCUACUGUGACUAAUGCUACAGUGAACCCACGACUACAGAUAACUCUUUUGAGAGGCUGAAUUCACUUUAGAUGUAUUUAAGGAUCUCAAGAUCAAUCAUCUUGGGUUAUCUGAGCAGGCCCUGCAUCUAACGACAAGUAUUCUUAAGACAGAAGAGAAGACAGUGAGAAGAAGAGAAUGCCACACAAAGACGGACACCAAGACUGAACUCAAUUUCUAGUCCCCCCACCCCCACAUGCUUCCCCAGAGAUGGGAGGUGGGAGGUGGGCAAAUUUGGCUGACAUUCUGCAUUUCAAAGCCUAAAAUCACAUGGUUGGUCUUUCUGGCCUGACCAGCCCAGUCCUGAGUCACCUCAUUAGCAUAAAUUCAAGUGUGGUCAGGGGCCCCCUCUGAAUAACAAAGACACCCUUAUCCCUUUUCAGGGAAAUCCUAAGGACUAAGAGGUUGUCUCCCUGGAUGCUGAGGGACAAAGGCCAGCGGAGUUCUCUAUUACACAGCGAUAAAGAAGAAGAAAAGAGGCCAAAACCCCUUUGCCAUCCAUUUAACAAAUACUGAUUGAGCAUCUGCUAAGGGCCAGGCACAGCUCAAGGUGCUGGGUAAACAGACGCCCACCACGGUCCUUCUGGAGCCGUUAUCCCAGUGGGGUAACUGACGAGAAGAUAAGUAACUUGCAAUGGUGUAUCAGAGGUUAUAAGUGACAAAGGAGAGAGCAAAGCAGGAAUGAGUGGGAGCUGGGAGGGGUGCAAUUUGUAAA